GCGGGUUUAGCUCAGUUGGGAGAGCGUCAGACUGAAGAAAAUAAACUUCAAUCCAAAUACCUCCACAAAAGGUUAAUCUGAAGGUCGUGUGUUCGAUCCACACAAACCGCA